rnacentral:rRNA from 1 species
UACGGAAGGGGGCUAGCGUUGCUCGGAAUCACUGGGCGUAAAGGGUGCGUAGGCGGGUUUUUAAGUCAGGGGUGAAAUCCUGGAGCUCAACUCCAGAACUGCCUUUGAUACUGAAGAUCUUGAGUCCGGGAGAGGUGAGUGGAACUGCGAGUGUAGAGGUGAAAUUCGUAGAUAUUCGCAAGAACACCAGUGGCGAAGGCGGCUCACUGGCCCGGUACUGACGCUGAGGCACGAAAGCGUGGGGAGCAAACAGGG